GUCCCUGUAGCGCAGUGAUAGCGUAUUGGACUUCUAAUCCAAAGUUCGUGAGUUCGAAUCCCAUCUGGGAUG